UAGGGGAAUCUUCCACAAUGGACGGAAAAGUCUGAUGGAGCAACGCCGCGUGAGUGAAGAAGGGUUUCGGCUCGUAAAGCUCUGUUGGUAGUGAAGAAAGAUAGAGGUAGUAACUGGCCUUUAUUUGACGGUAAUUACUUAGAAAGUCACGGCUAACUACGUGCC
rnacentral:rRNA from 1 species